rnacentral:misc_RNA from 1 species
AAAAUAAUCCUACCCUUUGUGAAUUUUGUUUGUUUGAAUAAUUUUUUUUUUAAAAAAUUAUUGGAGUCUUUCCUUUAGAGUUUGCUUUUGAGUUUGUAAAAGAAUUCGAAAACAUCUAAAGGGGAUGGUCAAUAAUUUUUUUGAAAAAAGACAUUUUUUAAAAUUAAACUUUUUGUAUUCAUUUGUCUAAAAAUUAUUUUUAUAAUAUAAAAACAACUUUUGACAAUGGAUCUCUUGGUUCUCGCAACGAUGAAGAACGCAGCAAAAUGCGAUAAGUAGUGUGAAUUGCAGAAUACGUGAAUCAUCGAAUCUUUGAACGCAUAUUGCACUUUUUUAGUUUACUAAAAAAGUAUGUCUGUUUGAGUAUCAGUAAAAUAUUCUCAUAAAAAUCAUUGUGUAUUUUUAUGUUAUGAGUGUUUUACAACGAUACAAGUUGUUUCACUUUAAAUUUUUUUUAAUAUUGAAAUUUUUCUAAUUUUAAUAAUUAAAAUUGGAUAAAAUUUUCCCGUCAAAAGGAAUAACCUAAACAAUUUUAAAUGGUUAAUUUUAGCAAAAUUUUCGUAAAAAAGGAAAAUUUUUAUUAAAAUAACUUGAUCUCAAAUCAGAUAAGAGUACCCGCUGAACUUAAGCAUAUCAAUAAGCGGAGGAAAAGAAACUAACAAGGAUUCCCUUAGUAACGGCGAGUGAAGCGGGAAGAGCUCAAAUUUGAAAUCUUCAAGGUUUUACCUUGACGAAUUGUAGUUUAAAGAAGGUUUUCUGCUGAAGUUUUGGUAAAAGUUCUUUGGAAUAGGACAUCAUAGAGGUGAGAAUCCCGUAUUUGACCAUUAUUUUCAGCUUUGUGAUACACUUUCAAAGAGUCGGAUUGUUUGGGAAUGCAGUCCAAAAUGGGUGGUAAAUUUCAUCUAAAGCUAAAUAUUGGCGAGAGACCGAUAGCGAACAAGUACCGUGAGGAAAGAUGAAAAGAACUUUGAAAAGAGAGUUAAACAGUACGUGAAAUUGUCAAAAGGGAAGCGUUGACACCAGUGUUGUUUUCUCGAAAAUCAAUUAAAAAUGGCUCGAUUUGUAUUGCUGAGACCUUAAAAGCUCACUGUACAUUUUUCGUGUCUUUUUUAAUGCACUUUUCGUUUAACAAGUCAACAUCAGUUUCUUUUGUUGUAAAAGGUCAUUGGAAGGUGGCUUUCUUUCGGAGAAAGUGUUUUAGCCUUUGGCCUCUGCAAUCGAGAGACUGAGGUCUGCAGCGUAGACUCUUCGGGUUAGAUACAUUUGUGCUAAGUUAUAGCUUUUUAUAGACAACUUGUUGACUAUAAUUAGUCUUGUAGCUUACUCGCUUAUGCUAUUUUACCUACGCUUAGGAUG